UGGGGAAUAUUGCACAAUGGGGGAAACCCUGAUGCAGCGACGCCGCGUGGAGGAAGAAGGUCUUCGGAUUGUAAACUCCUGUUGUUGAGGAAGAUAAUGACGGUACUCAACAAGGAAGUGACGGCUAACUACGUGCCAGCAGCCGCGGUAAAACGUAGGUCACAAGCGUUGUCCGGAAUUACUGGGUGUAAAGGGAGCGCAGGCGGGAAGACAAGUUGGAAGUGAAAUCUAUGGGCUCAACCCAUAAACUGCUUUCAAAACUGUUUUUCUUGAGUAGUGCAGAGGUAGGCGGAAUUCCCGGUGUAGCGGUGGAAUGCGUAGAUAUCGGGAGGAACACCAGUGGCGAAGGCGGCCUACUGGGCACCAACUGACGCUGAGGCUCGAA
rnacentral:rRNA from 1 species